rnacentral:rRNA from 1 species
GCCGGAUUAAUACCGCAUAAGCUCUGAGGAGGAAAGCGGGGGACCGUAAGGCCUCGCGCGUUUGGAGCGGCCGAUGGCAGAUUAGGUAGUUGGUGGGGUAAAGGCUUACCAAGCCUACGAUCUGUAGCUGGUCUGAGAGGACGACCAGCCACACUGGGACUGAGACACGGCCCAGACUCCUACGGGAGGCAGCAGUGGGGAAUUUUGGACAAUGGGCGAAAGCCUGAUCCAGCAAUGCCGCGUGCAGGAUGAAGGCCUUCGGGUUGUAAACUGCUUUUGUACGGAACGAAAAGGCGCCUACUAAUACUGGGUGUUGAUGACGGUACCGUAAGAAUAAGCACCGGCUAACUACGUGCCAGCAGCCGCGGUAAUACGUAGGGUGCAAGCGUUAAUCGGAAUUACUGGGCGUAAAGCGUGCGCAGGCGGUGUUGUAAGACAGUUGUGAAAUCCCCGGGCUCAACCUGGGAACUGCAUCUGUGACUGCAAUGCUGGAGUGCGGCAGAGGGGGAUGGAAUUCCGCGUGUAGCAGUGAAAUGCGUAGAUAUGCGGAGGAACACCG